CAGACUACAAUGUUUUCAGACUAAAUAUUUUCAGACAUUGUUUCAGUUUUGGUAUUGUCGUACCAUAUUAUUCAUAUAAGGUUUUAUCAGAUAUUUAUCAAUUUUGAACUAUCAGUAAUCAGACUCAGUUGUUAGUACCAUCACAAAUUUAGUCACAAUUACUUAUUCAUGCAUGUAUUAUCAUGUUCAUGUUAUUCAGUCAGUUAGCAUUGUUCAUGCAUUUGAACCUUUUGCAUUCAGCCUACCUCACUUCCAUACCAGUAUAUUCAAAUGUACUGACGUAUUUGUGCUAUGGUGUUUUAUACCAUAGGUUCAAAAGCACGAGCUCCAGAGCAUCAGUAGCAUUCCAGUUUUAGCAGUCAGAGUUAGUAAUGAGUCCUCAUCCUUCGAGGACAUGAUCAUUACUUAGUUUAUUUUAGUAGUUAGAGUUAGUUGGGGACAUGUCCCAUAAACUCCUUAUUCAGACAGUUUAAAGGCUUUCAGACUACAAUGUUUUCAGACUAAAUAUUUUCAGACAUUGUUUCAGUUUUGGUAUUGUCGUACCAUAUUAUUCAUAUAAGGUUUUAUCAGAUAUUUAUCAAUUUUGAACCUUAUGACAUAUUUUAGCCUACUAUUUCCGCAUUUAUAUAGUAUAUUAUGCAGUGUUUAGGUAUAAUAUCAGUCGUGGGUUAGCUUAUGGUCCUUCAAGGUCAUGAGCACCGUGUAGCAUUCUGGGUACCAGAUGCGGGGCAUUACAAACUUGGUAUCAGAGCCUAAGGUUUAAUAAAGUCCUAGGAAGUCUGAAAGCCGCAUCUAGUAGAAUCUUGUACAUGAGUGUGUUGCGCAUCACAUUUAUGUGCAGGAGGCUAUGAGAUAUUUUAGAAAUAGUUUCCCUUCUUUCAGUAUUCAUGUUGUGCCAGUGAGCGUGAGCUCAAAUUUAACUCUCAGUCUAAUCUAUUUCUCCCUUUCUUCCACAGAAUAUGCCUCCCAAAAGAAGAAACAGAAAUCAGUCAGCCCCUCAGCCCAUCCAAGCAGAUCCCUUAGAAGAACACGUUUCUCAUGCAGAGUUCAGAACUGCAUUCACCACUCUUUCUAAUUUAGUUGCUUCUCAGAAUAAAUGACCAACUAUUAUUUCAGCCAACCCAGUGGCCAAUUCAGCUGCAGCCAAGAUUUGGGACUUCACCUGAAUGAAUC
rnacentral:lncRNA from 1 species